rnacentral:rRNA from 1 species
UACGUAGGAUGCAAGCGUUGUCCGGAAUUAUUGGGCGUAAAGAGAACGUAGGUGGUCCUUUAAGUUCGAUCUUAAAGACCGGGGCUCAACCCCGGGAAUGGAUUGAAAACUGGGGGACUAGAGGAUGUUAGAGGACGGUGGAAUUCCAAGUGUAGCGGUGAAAUGCGUAGAUAUUUGGAGGAACACCAGUGGCGAAAGCGGCCGUCUGGGACAUUCCUGACACUGAGGUUCGAAAGCUCGGGGAGCAAACAGG